AACGAACGCUGGCGGCAGGCCUAACACAUGCAAGUCGAGCGCUCACCUUCGGGUGGGAGCAGCGCACGGGUGAGUAACACGUGGGAACCUACCUUGAAGUACGGAAUAACUGAGGGAAACUUCAGCUAAUACCGUAUACGCCCUACGGGGGAAAGAUUUAUCGCUUCAAGACGGGCCCGCGUUGGAUUAGCUAGUUGGUGAGGUAAUGGCUCACCAAGGCAACGAUCCAUAGCUGAUUUGAGAGAAUGAUCAGCCACACUGGGACUGAGACACGGCCCAGACUCCUACGGGAGGCAGCAGUGGGGAAUAUUGGACAAUGGGCGCAAGCCUGAUCCAGCCAUGCCGCGUGAGUGAUGAAGGCCUUCGGGUUGUAAGGCUCUUUCAGAUGGGACGAUGAUGACGGUACCAUCAGAAGAAGCCCCGGCUAACUUCGUGCCAGCAGCCGCAGUAA
rnacentral:rRNA from 1 species